AGCAUAUCAAUAAGCGGAGGAAAAGAAACUAACAAGGAUUCCCCUAGUAACUGCGAGUGAAGCGGGAAAAGCUCAAAUUUAAAAUCUGGCGGCAUUGGUCGUCCGAGUUGUAAUCUGGAGAAGCAUUUUCUGUGUCGGACCGUGCACAAGUUUCCUGGAACGGAAUGUCAUAGAGGGUGAGAAUCCCGUCCAUGGCACGGAUCACCGAUGCAUUGUGAUAUGCUCUCGAAGAGUCGAGUUGUUUGGGAAUGCAGCUCAAAAUGGGUGGUAAAUUCCAUCUAAAGCUAAAUAUUGGCGAGAGACCGAUAGCGAACAAGUACCGUGAGGGAAAGAUGAAAAGCACUUUGGAAAGAGAGUUAAACAGUACGUGAAAUUGUUGAAAGGGAAACGCUUGGAGUCAGUCGCGUUGGCCAGGAUUCAGUCGCUCUUACCGGAGUGGAUUACUUCCUGGUGAACGGGUCAACAUCGAUUUCGAACGGUGGAUAAAGGGGAGAGAAAGGUGGCACCUUCGGGUGUGUUAUAGUCUCUCUUUCGCAUACACCGGCCGGGAUCGAGGAUCGCAGCACGCCUUUAUGGCCGGGGGUUCGCCUCACGUAACGUGCUUAGGAUGUUGGCAUAAUGGCUUUAAGCGACCCGUC
rnacentral:rRNA from 1 species